rnacentral:rRNA from 2 species
GGGUUGUGAGGUUAAGCGACUAAGCGUACACGGUGGAUGCCCUGGCAGUCAGAGGCGAUGAAGGGCGUGCUAAUCUGCGAUAAGCGCCGGUAAGGUGAUAUGAACCGUUAUAACCGGCGAUACCCGAAUGGGGAAACCCAGUGUGACUCGUCACACUAUCAUUAACUGAAUCCAUAGGUUAAUGAGG